GGCACUGUAGCUCAGUUGGUAGAGCACAUGCUUAACAAGUCGCGUCGUGCCCGCAUGUUGUCGUCGGUUCGAGCCCGGCCAGAGUCA
rnacentral:tRNA from 1 species